GAUGAACGCUAGCUGCAGGCUUAACACAUGCAAGUCGCGGGGCAGCAUGGGGGUUGCUUGCAAUCCCCGAUGGCGACCGGCGCACGGGUGAGUAACGCGUAUCCAACCUGCCCUUCACCACGGGAUAACCCGGCGAAAGUCGGACUAAUACCGUAUGUUGUCCAUUGACGGCAUCCGAUUUGGACGAAAGGCUUGGCGGUGAGGGAUGGGGAUGCGUCCGAUUAGCCAGACGGCGGGGUAACGGCCCACCGUGGCUACGAUCGGUAGGGGUUCUGAGAGGAAGGUCCCCCACACUGGAACUGAGACACGGUCCAGACUCCUACGGGAGGCAGCAGUGAGGAAUAUUGGUCAAUGGGCGUAAGCCUGAACCAGCCAAGUAGCGUGCAGGAUGACGGCCCUAUGGGUUGUAAACUGCUUUUAUGCGGGGAUAAAGUGGCCCACGUGUGGGCUUUUGCAGGUACCGCAUGAAUAAGGACCGGCUAAUUCCGUG
rnacentral:rRNA from 1 species